UUGCCUCUUGUGUUAAGCUGAGUUUUUGGAGCUACCAAUAUGUGACUUAAGCUGAUCGCAAAUUCGAUAAGCAACUUUAGUUUUAUUACAGCUUAGCUUCUAAUUCUGAAGCAGGAUUUUCUUAAUUUUCUGCUGGUUUUUCUUGUUGGUCUCAUUUUCAGGGGAAUUGAAGAAUCAUAUUCCAAUGAAGAUGUUUCUGUUUAUUUGGUGGAGACUCCUGCUUGCAGGCAAACGAGAGAGCAAAUCCAUGAAUUUAUGGAGAAGUAUAAGACAUACAAACUUGCAAAAGCUGAGAUCCUCAAUGUCAUCAACGUUGCACCUCGUGAAUUAGUUGAAAUUGACCCGGUAGUUUUAUUAUUAAUUCAUCUUUCUCUUUCAUUAAUUAAUUCAUUCAUUCCUUCUUUCUUUCUUUGAAUUGUCCUUACAGAAAUCUUGGCUUAGGAGUGACACUUUCUAUGCUAUUUUUCUCAAUUUGUGAAUGUUCUUUUA